rnacentral:rRNA from 1 species
UACAGGGGGGUGCAAACGUUGCUCGGAAUCAUUGGGCGUAAAGCGCACGUAGGCGGUUCGUUAUGUCGGAUGUGAAAGCCCCUUGGCUUAACCGAGGAAGUGCAUCCGAAACUGGCGAGCUAGAGUACUAAAGAGGAUCGCGGAAUUCCCCGGUGUAGAGGUGAAAUUCGUAGAUAUCGGGAGGAACACCGGUGGCGAAGGCGGCGAUCUGGGUAGAUACUGACGCUGAGGUGCGAAAAGCGUGGGGAGCAAACAGG